UUUACAUUGGGAAAACAUACCGUAGGUUUACAUUGGGAAAACAUACCGUAGGUUUACAUUGGGAAAACAUACCGUAGGUUUACAUUGGGAAAACAUACCGUAGGUUUACAUUGGGAAAACAUACCGUAGGUUUACAUUGGGAAAACAUACCGUAGGUUUACAUUGGGAAAACAUACCGUAGGUUUACAUUGGGAAAACAUACCGUAGGUUUACAUUGGGAAAACAUACCGUAGGUUUACAUUGGGAAAACAUACCGUAGGUUUACAUUGGGAAAACAUACCGUAGGUUUACAUUGGGAAAACAUACCGUAGGUUUACAUUGGGAAAACAUACCGUAGGUUUACAUUGGGAAAACAUACCGUAGGUUUACAUUGGGAAAACAUACCG